GAGGAAUGUAUAGCAAUAGCUACUUGCAUCAGUAGAAGGAUGAUGCAAGAUCGACUAUGUUGAAUAAAAUUCUAGGUAGAAUUAUGAUAAUGACAUUGUCUGCCUAUGUGUCUUGACCAAAUUACGUGCCAGCAGUCGCGGUAACACGUAGAAGACUAGUGUUAUUCAUGUUUAAUCGGUUUAAAGGGUACCUAGACGGUAAAUCAAGCUUUCUCAUAAGAAAGAAAUGUACUAAUUUACUAGAGUUACUUACGGUGGGGCAUUAAAGUACUAUUGGUGUAGAGAUGAAAUUCUAUGAUACCUCUUUCGAAAGAAAAAUCAUGGCACUGGUAUAGGCGAAGGCAUCCCCUUAUGUGAUAACUGACGUUGAGGGACGAAGGCUUCAUGUAACAAACAGGAUUAGAUACCCUAUUAGUUGGAGCAGAAAAUGAUGAAUGUCAUAGACUAGAUAUAUAAGUUUAUUCUAUAAAUGAAAGUGUAAGCAUUCCACCUCAUGAGUAAUUUGGCAACAUUGGAAUUGAAAUCAUUAGACCGUUUCUGAAACCAGUAGUGAAGUAUGUUGUUUAAUUUGAUAACCCGCAAAAAACCUUACCACAACUUGAAUAUUUAUAUUUAUUAUUGUUAUUUCUUUUUUUAGUAAAAGGCAAGAACAAGAACAUAUCUUUACAAGCGUUGCACGGCUGUCUUCAGUUAAUGUCGCGAGACUGUGGUUAGUUCCAUUAAUUAACGUAAACCCUUACUUUAUUUUUACAUAGAGUAGUUCCCCGCUAUAUUGGAUAAGAU
rnacentral:rRNA from 1 species